UACGUUCCAGGGCCUUGUACACACCGCCCGUCACACCACGAAAGUCGGCAACACCCGAAGCCGGUGGCCUAACCCGUAAGGGAGGGAGCCGUCGAAGGUGGGGUUGGUGAUUGGGGUG
rnacentral:rRNA from 1 species